rnacentral:tRNA from 1 species
CACUAGGAAGCUAAAUCGGAAUGAGCGUUAGCCUUUUAAGCUAAAGACUGGUGAAUCCAAUCACCUCUAGUGA